GGGAAGGUGGCUCAGUAGUAGAGCACUUGCCUUGCAUGCAUGAGGCCCUGGGUUC
rfam:Dipodomys ordii contig_35207, whole genome shotgun sequence.